rnacentral:rRNA from 1 species
GAUGAACGCUGGCGGCGUGCCUAAUACAUGCAAGUCGAGCGAACGGACGAGAAGCUUGCUUCUCUGAUGUUAGCGGCGGACGGGUGAGUAACACGUGGAUAACCUACCUAUAAGACUGGGAUAACUUCGGGAAACCGGAGCUAAUACCGGAUAAUAUUUUGAACCGCAUGGUUCAAAAGUGAAAGACGGUCUUGCUGUCACUUAUAGAUGGAUCCGCGCUGCAUUAGCUAGUUGGUAAGGUAACGGCUUACCAAGGCAACGAUGCAUAGCCGACCUGAGAGGGUGAUCGGCCACACUGGAACUGAGACACGGUCCAGACUCCUACGGGAGGCAGCAGUAGGGAAUCUUCCGCAAUGGGCGAAAGCCUGACGGAGCAACGCCGCGCGAGUGAUGAAGGUCUUCGGAUCGUAAAACUCUGUUAUUAGGGAAGAACAUAUGUGUAAGUAACCGUGCACAUCUUGACGGUACCUAAUCAGAAAGCCACGGCUAACUACGUG